AGAAUCAACGCUGGCGGCGUGCCUAACACAUGCAAGUCGAACGAGAAAGUGGAGCAAUCCAUGAGUAAAGUGGCGACCGGGUGAGUAACACGUGACUAACCUACCUUCGAGUGGGGGAUAACCUCGGGAAACCGAGGCUAAUACCGCAUAACAUCGCAAGAUCAAAGCAGCAAUGCGCUGGAAGAGGGGGUCGCGGCUGAUUAGCUAGUUGGCGGGGUAAUGGCCCACCAAGGCGAAGAUCGGUAGCCGGCCUGAGAGGGCGCACGGCCACACUGGAACUGAAACACGGUCCAGACUCCUACGGGAGGCAGCAGUGGGGAAUUUUGCGCAAUGGGGAAACCCUGACGCAGCAACGCCGCGUGGAGGAUGAAGCCCCUUGGGGUGUAAACUCCUUUCGACCAAGACGAUAAUGACGGUACUGGUGGAAGAAGCACCGGCUAACUCUGCGCCAGCAGCCGC
rnacentral:rRNA from 1 species